UACAAGAAUAGCAUUUAUCGAUGAAAAUAUAUACAACGGUAUGACUGCCUCGCAAGAAAAAGGCUGUGAAUCUUUUGUAAUUGAUGCUGAAAUGCUAGGAAUACAUGCAUCAAAGAGAUUGCUGCACAAAGAGAAAACUGUGACUCUCUUAAAAAUGAUGAUGCUCAAAUAUUAGAUACUGAUAUGAAAAUAAGAUCUAUUGAU